rnacentral:misc_RNA from 1 species
AGUAAAACAGUACGUGAAAUUGUUGAAAGGGAAACGAUUGAAGUCAGUCAUGCCGGCGUUGGAUUCAGCUUGCUUCGCGGAGCUUGCGCAUUUCCUCGCAUGGCAGGUCAGCGUCAGUUUUGCGCGGCGUGAAAAGGCUCGGGUAAGGUAGCUCUCUUCGGGGAGUGUUAUAGACCUGGGCAAAUGCGCAGCGCGGGACUGAGGAUUGCAGCGGACACCUCUUCGGAGGCGCGGCGACCGAACCCUGCUCGGCCACCCUCGUUCGAUAGCGUGCUAACGGACGCGGGAGCGGCAGUGCACCGGAACAGGCAAGCCAGCGGUUCGCUUAGGAUGCUGACGUAAUGGCUUUAAA